rnacentral:rRNA from 1 species
GUUUGAUCAUGGCUCAGGAUGAACGCUAGCGGGAGGCUUAACACAUGCAAGUCGAGGGGCAGCAUAAGGUAGCAAUACUUUGAUGGCGACCGGCGCACGGGUGAGUAACGCGUAUGCAACCUACCCUGUACAGGGGGAUAACCCGGAGAAAUUCGGACUAAUAUCCCAUAAAGAUAUCUGGAGGCAUCUUUGGAUAUUUAAAGCUCAGGCGGUACGGGAUGGGCAUGCGUAACAUUAGCUAGUUGGCAGGGUAAAGGCCUACCAAGGCAUUGAUGUUUAGGGGUCCUGAGAGGGUGAUCCCCCACACUGGUACUGAGACACGGACCAGACUCCUACGGGAGGCAGCAGUGAGGAAUAUUGGUCAAUGGGCGCAAGCCUGAACCAGCCAUCCCGCGUGAAGGAAGAAGGCGCUAUGCGUUGUAAACUUCUUUUCCAGGGGAAUAAAAUUUUGUACGUGUACGAAAUUGAAGGUACCCUGGGAAUAAGCAUCGGCUAACUCUGUGCCAGCAGCCGCGGUAAUACGGAGGAUGCGAGCGUUAUCCGGAUUUAUUGGGUUUAAAGGGUGCGUAGGCGGAAAAAUAAGUCAGUGGUGAAAACCUGCAGCUUAACUGUGGAACUGCCAUUGAUACUGUUAUUCUUGAGUAUGGUCAAGGUAGGCGGAAUGUGUAAUGUAGCGGUGAAAUGCUUAGAUAUUACACAGAACACCGAUUGCGAAGGCAGCUUACUGGACCAAAACUGACGCUGAUGCACGAAAGCGUGGGGAUCGAACAGGAUUAGAUACCCUGGUAGUCCACGCCGUAAACGAUGAUCACUCGCUGUUAGCGAUACACAGUUAGCGGCUAAGCAAAAGCAUUAAGUGAUCCACCUGGGGAGUACGGCC